CAGCGCUGCCAGAGGGAACUCUUCAGACGUCACGGAGGCCCCUCGGACGCCGCUUGUUUUUGGAUCCCGCCUCUCCGUUACUGCGGCAACCGCUGCUCUUCUCCAGGAACCUUUGGAAUAACUCGUUUCCAAGGGACCAAAUCGAACUCCUGGUUGAAGGACUCGCUGCUCUGGAGACGCGUGUCGUACUGGUUGUCUGUUCUCGUCCUCUUUCCAGGGGAGCUGCAGGAGGCGAUCUUCUGGUUUCGGUAUUUGGGGUCGGGGUUUUUGCAGCGCUUGUGGCCUUAAUUUCACAGUCAGCAUUUAAAAGAAAAACUGCAGCCACAAACCAGUUUUAAUUUGUCUAUUGUGCCUCGACACGUCAGUCAGGAUUUACAGUACACACCACAGAUGGACAGACGAUGACGUCCGGGCCGUAUUGACGCCUGAAGACAGAAUCGUAACUCAGCGGGAUCAUUUGAACGAUCUUCUUGGUGAUGCAGACGGAAGCAAAAUGUAAAAAAGUCGUUCCUGGAGUCUAAAGUUCGGCUGGAGAGCUCCACUUCCUACCUUUGUGACAGUCGGCUCCACCCAGAUGAGUUUCCGGUCUGUGCGCUGCGAGUUCUUUGUGCCACGCCGUGUUUGGUCCUCGUGGUUCCUUCCCUGCUGGUGUUUCUGACCCAAACCCUCUUUCUGGAUUGUUGCCUGGCAGGCCGUCUUCCUCUGAACCGAAUGUAUUUUGGUUGUAAACGAUUUUAUCAGACUGUCACUGAGUCACGCGCUCUUGAGUCCGACCUUCCUGUGUUUCGGUUCUCGUCACAUGCGACCUGAAUGAAACGAACCCUGACAUCAGCUCAGUCUGUGUAAUGAGUGAGGUGCAGCGUCUUCCUGUUGUGGAGAUUCUGAAUGCAGGAUUUUUAUUUGUUUGUUGCUGAGUUUUCUUGGAGCUCCUGACGGUCUGCUGAGGCUUCCACCUGCAGCCUGCAGCUUCCUGUUCCACCUCAAAUCUUUCAUCCGUAACUUUGCUUUGCUCAUUUUUCAGAUCUGUACUUCAGUAGAUAUUUUCCUGACAGCUUCUGGCUUCUUCUCUUUACAUCUGAACUUCCUCCUCCUCACAUUUCCAAAGCAGACUCGUUACUUCAGUUCGUUACAUCAGCAGACUGACGUCGACCUAUCAGAGCACAUCACACAUGGCAGCGAGACGAGACAAAGACGUAAAAGACGUAAGAAUCCGUAAACAGACAGAGAGGGAGGCUGGAAUGUGGAGAAAAGGCGUGUUAGU